rnacentral:tRNA from 1 species
GUGCACUUAGCUCAGUGGUUAGAGCACCCUUCUCGAGUUUGGAGAAAACAGGUCACAGGUUUGAGCCUUGUAGUGCAGA